rnacentral:rRNA from 1 species
CCUACGGGAGGCUGCAGUGGGGAAUAUUGGACAAUGGGGGGAACCCUGAUCCAGCCAUGCCGCGUGUGUGAAGAAGGCCCUCGGGUUGUAAAGCACUUUCAGUGAGGAAGAACGCCUGGUGGUUAAUACCCAUCAGGAAAGACAUCACUCACAGAAGAAGCACCGGCUAACUCCGUGCCAGCAGCCGCGGUAAUACGGAGGGUGCGAGCGUUAAUCGGAAUUACUGGGCGUAAAGCGCGCGUAGGUGGCUUGAUAAGCCGGUUGUGAAAGCCCCGGGCUCAACCUGGGAACGGCAUCCGGAACUGUCAAGCUUGAGUGCAGGAGAGGAAGGUAGAAUUCCCGGUGUAGCGGUGAAAUGCGUAGAGAUCGGGAGGAAUACCAGUGGCGAAGGCGGCCUUCUGGACUGACACUGACACUGAGGUGCGAAAGCGUGGGUAGCAAACAGGAUUAGAUACCCUAGUAGUC